rnacentral:rRNA from 1 species
UCAUGCGAGUCGAACGAGAAAACUCUCUUCGGAGAGUGAGUACAGUGGCGGACGGGUGAGUAACACGUGGGUAAUCUGCCCUUGGGUUGGGAACAACACUUCUAACGAGGUGCUAAUACCGAAUAACAAGACCGAUUGCGAAAUUGGUUUUUAAAGGUGGCCUCUACUUGUAAGCUGCCGCCUGAGGAUGAGCCCGCGCCGUAUUAGCUUGUUGGUGGGGUAAUGGCCUACCAAGGCAACGAUGCGUAGCCGGCCUGAGAGGGUGAACGGCCACACUGGAACUGAGACAAGGUCCAGUCUCCUACGGGAGCCAGCAGUCUAGAAAUUUGCACAAUCGUCGAAAGGCGGAUGCAGCGACACCACGUGGAGGAUGAAGCCCUUCGGGGUGUAAACUCCUGUCAGUUGGGAAGAAGGCGCGAGUGUUAAUACCACUUGUUGCUUGACGGUACCUUCAGAGGAAGCUCCGGCUAACUACGUGCCAGCAGCCGCGGUAAUACGUAGGGAGCGAGCGUUGUUCGGAUUUACUGGGCGUAAAAGAGCACGUAGGCGGGCAUGCAAAGUCGGUUGUGAAAUCCUCUGGCUCAACCAGAGAACUGCAAUCGAAAACUGCAUGC